GGUGUGUUCUGGGAAGUUGUGGUUUCCCCUCCAUAAAGAAAGGUUCAAGCAGAAGGUCAAGGGCACCGGAGCAUCGAUGGAUUGUGGGAGCUCCAGAAACAUGUCCUGAGGGCCUAUCACGUGUGCUACACACCUCAUUCAGACUCAUAAAGACCUUGCCAGGCAGGGGUGGGAAUGUGCCCAGGUUCACAGAGAUGUGAAGGGAAGAACUGGAAUCCAAGGACUCCUCACUGGUGGACUGAAAGUCAAAGGAGAGUGAAUGCGGUCAAAGGAAUUCUGGAGCCACUUCUUUACUGGUCAAAUUACUUAACCUCUCUGAAGUUCCUCUUCCUCACCUAAAAAUGCAGAUGAGGAAAAUAAAAGUCCUUCAAGAUCUCAAGUCUGGGCUCAUUGUGAAACUGAACCAAAUGGAGAGACUUGAAUCUUCAUGCUGAUGAUUCUUCC